UACGUAGGGGGCAAGCGUUGUCCGGAUUUAUUGGGCGUAAAGAGCGUGUAGGCGGUUUGGUAGGUCCGUUGUGAAAACUCGAGGCUCAACCUCGAGACGCCGAUGGAAACCAUCAGACUAGAGUCCGGAAGAGGAGAGUGGAAUUCCUGGUGUAGCGGUGAAAUGCGCAGAUAUCAGGAAGAACACCGGUGGCGAAGGCGGUCUGCUGGGCAGUUGCUGACACUGAGGAGCGAAAGUGUGGGGAGCGAACAGG
rnacentral:rRNA from 1 species